GCGCAGGGCUGGGCUGUGUUCUCCGGCCUCUCCCGCAGCCCCUCAGCUCGGGCUGCGCUCGCUCUUUGCCAGGUGCAGCCGUGCAGCGCACACGAGAGCAGGAACGCACCCGUGGCCGCUUCCGCAGAACAGCGCAGAUGUUUGCAAAUUCAUGAAGAGGACUCGGGAGGAAGAGAGCAUCAUCAUGGGCACUGUGGUCAGAGCCCAAGACCAAGUGCUGCCCUGCUGGAUAUGCUUGUGCAGGAGGGUCCUUCCACCCCAAAGCAAAGCUGCUUUGGCCAUGUGGAAGAGCAUCAUGUGCUCGCCCAGGACUGCAGAGCCAGCCAUGCUCGUACUCCUCGAUGUGCUGGGGAGCUGGCCAGAGCACAGCACGUGCACCUCCGAUGGGGACCACACGGCUGUCCUUGCCCUGGCUGUGAGUUUCUGCCUUUGCUGGCCCCAAGGCCACCCCUCCAGCAGCUCUCCAUCCUCCCUCCCCCACAGCGUCUCCCUGCCUCAGGUGCUGGGCUGAAACCUGGCCUCGGGACAGCUUCAGGGCCACCAGACCCGGUGCUCCCCCUGCGUCUCUCCGGACCUCUCCCUACUGUGCUUGGGCCCUGCCACACGGACACCUCGGCACUGAGCGCUGUCU